AUCAAGCCUGUUGGGUGUGAUUUUGCUGUCAUAGUUACUCUGAGC
rnacentral:snoRNA from 13 species